ACGUACACUCCUACGGGAGGCAGCAGUGGGGAAUAUUGGACAAUGGGCGCAAGCCUGAUCCAGCCAUGCCGCGUGAGUGAUGAAGGCCCUAGGGUUGUAAAGCUCUUUCACCGGUGAAGAUAAUGACGGUAACCGGAGAAGAAGCCCCGGCUAACUUCGUGCCAGCAGCCGCGGUAAUACGAAGGGGGCUAGCGUUGUUCGGAUUUACUGGGCGUAAAGCGCACGUAGGCGGACUAUUAAGUCAGGGGUGAAAUCCCGGGGCUCAACCCCGGAACUGCCUUUGAUACUGGUAGUCUGGAGUUCGAGAGAGGUGAGUGGAAUUCCGAGUGUAGAGGUGAAAUUCGUAGAUAUUCGGAGGAACACCAGUGGCGAAGGCGGCUCACUGGCUCGAUACUGACGCUGAGGUGCGAAAGCGUGGGGAGCAAACAGGAUUAGAAACCCUGGUAGUCCCAUG
rnacentral:rRNA from 1 species